UACGUAGGGUGCAAGCGUUAAUCGGAAUUACUGGGCGUAAAGCGUGCGCAGGCGGUUGUGCAAGACAGAUGUGAAAUCCCCGGGCUCAACCUAGGAAUUGCAUUUGUGACUGCACGGCUAGAGUGUGUCAGAGGGGGGUAGAAUUCCACGUGUAGCAGUGAAAUGCGUAGAUAUGUGGAGGAACACCGAUGGCGAAGGCAGCCCCCUGGGUCAAAACUGACGCUCAUGCACGAAAGCGUGGGGAGCAAACAGG
rnacentral:rRNA from 1 species